rnacentral:lncRNA from 1 species
CCGUGAGCCAGCAUCAGUGGCUCUUCCACGUCUCUUUAUCCCCUACCAGAGAAGUUUCUUUCUGAAUUCAUCACUUCAGAACCCUUCCAGCUUUAGUUUAUUAUCUGUACGUCUUGGAACUUCAGUCCCCGAAGCAGAAGUGCUUCGCUGGGGGAAUAUUUAUGAAGUUCCUGGUAGUAACAGAUACCUUAUUGAUCCGUACAGCGACCCAGGUGGUACUGCUUAAAAAUUAAUAGCCUGCUGCUCGGGCUUGUACCUGCAGAAAGCCCUGGGUGCAUCCAAAGAGCGCGUGCAGGAGGGAAAAGGGACUGAAGGUCUGGAAAAAGGGGAAAAACUGCUGGAAACCCUUGUGCAGAUGUGGUUUACCUGGGAAAACCUGAGCGUUGUUGUCGUCUUUAACUUUCACCUUGCUUUCAGCAGAGGUGCAGAAGGCCCAGUAUUUAUUGGGGCAGAAAGUCUUUAAAAGUAGCUGCUAAAAGCCCUAAAAUCUUCAGGAAAUGGCACCAGUGGAAACCGUGGACAGGUAGAAAGCCAAACCCAAAGAGCAUUGCCUGGUGCUGAGCAGCAGGAGGAGGCUUUGGGGCUGCCGUGUGUACCAGCAGGGCAUCCCCACGUAACCCUGCGUGCCUGUUGCAUCACCCUCCUGAUAUUUUGGGGGAAAGCAACUCCCUAGCCGCUUGCUGUCAGGCAGCAGCGUCGAGAAAUAAAAGGAGCUGCUUGCUCCAAAAGCUGCUAACCCGUGCGGCACGGGCAGAGAGCCCUGGGGUGAAGGUGUCCACAGCUUCACCGCACGUUUUAUUUUGGGCUGCUGCUUUGCAGCUUCCUGGGAUGUUGCGUGGUGCUGGAGGCAGCCCUGCCCCGGUCGUUUCCUCGGAUGGCCUCGGGUUUUAGAGGUCUGUUGUAUCCAUUAGCUGCUAAAAUCCUUUCCAGAUGGAAAGUCUUCCCAUAUUAUUAUUUUUUUUAUGGCAACUGCUCCUUAAUCACCCUUGGUUGGGCUUCUCUGUGCCUCUUCUAAUUCUGCUCUGUGUCCUCUCUGAGGUGAGGAGGAGGAAGAAUGACCAGGAGGUGAUGCUGCUGUUGUCGCACCUUUCUUCCAGGUGGACAGGGUGCCCCCGAAGCCCUGCUGUACCCCGGGAUGGCAGCGAGGUGACGGCCGCUGAGGAUGACCCUGACUGAAAAGCUGCGCGAGAGGAUAUCGCGGGCCUUCUACAGCCACGGGCUGCUCUGCGCCUCCUACCCCAUCCCCAUCAUCCUCUUCACGGGGCUCUGUAUUUUGGCCUGCUGGUAAGUCACCAAAUUCUGCCUGUCCUGGGCAGCGGGGCUCCGGGGGCUGCUCUGGGGGCUCUCACAGCAGUGCUCGGGUUCCCCUGGGCUUGUGGGGUAUUCCAGAAAUCGUUUUUCCUUUAUUUUUUUUCCUUAAAUGUAGAUUUUUGU